rnacentral:rRNA from 1 species
AUUGAACGCUGGCGGCAGGCCUAACACAUGCAAGUCGAGCGGAUGAAGGGAGCUUGCUCCUGGAUUCAGCGGCGGACGGGUGAGUAAUGCCUAGGAAUCUGCCUGGUAGUGGGGGAUAACGUCCGGAAACGGGCGCUAAUACCGCAUACGUCCUGAGGGAGAAAGUGGGGGAUCUUCGGACCUCACGCUAUCAGAUGAGCCUAGGUCGGAUUAGCUAGUUGGUGGGGUAAAGGCCUACCAAGGCGACGAUCCGUAACUGGUCUGAAAGGAUGAUCAGUCACACUGGAACUGAGACACGGUCCAGACUCCUACGGGAGGCAGCAGUGGGGAAUAUUGGACAAUGGGCGAAAGCCUGAUCCAGCCAUGCCGCGUGUGUGAAGAAGGUCUUCGGAUUGUAAAGCACUUUAAGUUUGGAGGAAGGGCAGUAAGUUAAUACCUUGCUGUUUUGACGUUACCAACAGAAUAAGCACCGGCUAACUUCGUG